rnacentral:tRNA from 1 species
UAGUGGUAGCUCAGUGGCAGAGCGGCGGGCGGACCCCGAGCGGUCCCGGUUCGAAUCCGGCCCACAACCA